rnacentral:rRNA from 1 species
AACGGCCGUACCAUGCUGAAUAUACCGGUUCUCGUUAGAUCACCGAAGUUAAGCAUCAUUGGGCGCGGUCAGUACUUGGGUGGGUGGCCACCUGGGAACACUGCGUGCCGUU